GAUGAACGCUAGCGGGAUGCCUAACACAUGCAAGUCGAACGGUCCUUCGGGACAGUGGCAAACGGGCGAGUAACGCGUACUUAACCUGCCCAAGAGUUGGGGACAACUGUAGAGAUACAGCUAAUCCCCAAUAUCCCCUAAGAAAUGAAAAUACUUAGGGAAAAGAUUUAUCGCUUUUGGAGGGGGGUGCGUCCUAUCAGGUAGUUGGUUGAGGUAACGGCUCACCAAGCCUAUGACGGGUAGCCGGUCUGAGAGGAUGUCCGGCCGCAAUGGAACUGAGACACGGUCCAUACUCCUACGGGAGGCAGCAGUGGGGAAUAUUGGACAAUGGGCGCAAGCCUGAUCCAGCAAUCCCGCGUGGAGGAUGACGCAUUACGGUGUGUAAACUCCUUUUCUGGUAGAAGACGACUGACGGUAUACCAGGAAUAAGAGACGGCUAACUACGUG
rnacentral:rRNA from 1 species